rnacentral:rRNA from 1 species
CCUACGGGAGGCAGCAGUGAGGAAUAUUGGUCAAUGGGCGCGAGCCUGAACCAGCCAAGUAGCGUGAAGGAUGACUGCCCUAUGGGUUGUAAACUUCUUUUAUAUGGGAAUAAAACGUUCCACGUGUGGGAUUUUGUAUGUACCAUAUGAAUAAGGAUCGGCUAACUCCGUGCCAGCAGCCGCGGUAAUACGGAGGAUCCGAGCGUUAUCCGGAUUUAUUGGGUUUAAAGGGAGCGUAGGUGGAUUGUUAAGUCAGUUGUGAAAGUUUGCGGCUCACCCGGAAAAUUGCAGUUGAAACUGGCAGUCUAGAGUACAGGAGAGGUGGGCGGAAUUCGUGGUGUAGCGGUGAAAUGCGUAGAUAUCAAGAAGAACCCCGAUUGCGAAGGCAGGUUACUGGACUGCAACUGACACUGAGGCUCGAAAGUGUGGGUAUCAAACAGGAUUAGAUACCCCUGUAGUC